rnacentral:snRNA from 15 species
UUAAUUGCGCCGGGUUCAGGGUGAUCAAUAAUGCUGUGACGCCGGGUUGAGGAUCACUAUUACAUCUCAGUGAGUUGAAACUCGCGAUGGACCUUAAUCGGGUGAGCUCAGGCGUGUAGUUUUUGUCAAAGGGGAGGCCUCACGGUCGUCCCUUU